rnacentral:rRNA from 1 species
CUGGCUCAGGACGAACGCUGGCGGCGUGCCUAACACAUGCAAGUCGAACGGAGUAAGGGUUUCGAUUCUUACUUAGUGGCGAACGGGUGAGUAACGCGUGAACAACCUGCCUUCCUGAGGGGGAUAACACCUGGAAACAAGUGCUAAUACCGCAUAAGACCACAGAGCCGCAUGGCCCAGGGGUCAAAGGAGCAAUCCGCAGGGAGAGGGGUUCGCGUCCCAUUAGCUAGUUGGCGGGGCAACGGCCCACCAAGGCGACGAUGGGUAGCCGAGCUGAGAGGCUGAUCGGCCACACUGGAACUGAGACACGGUCCAGACUCCUACGGGAGGCAGCAGUGGGGAAUAUUGGGCAAUGGGCGCAAGCCUGACCCAGCAACGCCGCGUGAGGGAAGAAGGUCUUCGGAUUGUAAACCUCUGCCCUAUGUGACGAAGGAAGUGACGGUAGCAUAGGAGGAAGCCCCGGCUAACUACGUGCCAGCCGCUGC